AGUGAACGCUGGCGGCGUGCCUAAUACAUGCAAGUCGAACGGAGUGGCGCACGGGUGAGUAAUAUAUAGCUAAUCUGCCCCUUGCUGGAGGACAACCGAUAGAAAUGACUGCUAAUACCCCAUAGCAAGGGAUGAGACUAUAUCGUAUCAGCUAGUCGGUGGGGUAACGGCCUACCGAGACUAUGACGCGUAACUGGUCUGAGAGGAUGAUCAGUCGACUUGGAACUGAGGCACGGGCCAAAAACAUUCUGCAGGGAGCGGAAGGGAAUUACGCGCAAUGGGCGAGACCGUUGCGCAGCUACGGCGCGUGGAGGACGACACUUUGCGAAGCGUAAACUCCUUUUGAUAGGGAAGCGUUACCUAACGAAUAAGCACCGGCUAACUCCGUGCCAGCAGCCGCGGUAAUAC
rnacentral:rRNA from 1 species